UUGAAAUUUAUAAAUAUGACUUGAGGCUGUUGCUGGUGACUUUUUGGACACAUGUGCACGUCUCUUGCUUAUUUUGAUAACCAUUUCCACCUGUGCAUGCUGUGUAGAUACCUAGGAUUGAGAGCCAGAGUGUUUUGGCUUUUGUUUUAUAAAAAUCUAGGUGUCUAUGUUUUAUUACACUUAUACGUUUGGAUGAUUUUUGAAUGUGGAAUAGUGAGAUAAAAAUAAAUA
rnacentral:misc_RNA from 1 species